AUGAGCGCCAACAGAAGUUGUACAUCGAAAACAUCAAAAGAAAGACUUUUUAAUCAAGAAAUCUCACGCUUCGGGAACUUCGACAUGAUGAUCAAAAGAAAGACGGUGGAAGUCGGCAGGAAUGAAGAGGUAGAAAGAGUUAUGUCAAGUGAGUCCGGUUCAGGUGGCGCGCGCUGGCCGUCAAAGCCAGAAUUAUUUAUUAAUUCCGCAUUAUAUCCGAGUGUUGACGGUACACGGAACAGUAACGGUGAAUCGAAAUGUCGUGAAAAUGUCGAGAGACUUCAGGUUCUCACUUUGUGCCUUUUUUACGCCGAUCAACCCAAACCAGCGACCGUCGACACCAGCGCGCCAGGAUUCGACGCGCAUAAUUAUUUAAUAGGAGAAUACAACAACGGGAGCAUAAAAUGGUUAGAUGAAGCGCCACAAAAAACAAACGCGCUUAAAGACUGUUAUGUGCUUGGUUCCGGACGAGACAUCAGAAACAUAAUUCGUCACUAUGGAAAGAACGUUGAAAACAAACCCGCCUAUCUGAUGAUAAAUGCCUGGAUAUUUGAGAUUGAGCCAAAAUCUCUCUAUGUGUAUCUAGUCGGAAAAAAACUUGGAGAAGAAAAUAUGAACGAAACAAAACACCAAAUAGAAAACGUUUUUAAAACUCCAAAAGCAGAGUCUUAUGCUAAUAUUGUUGAAAAUAUUUCAACAAAUGAUCAAAAACAUUUCAUUUACCAAGUUGAAAACACAUUUAAAGGUCAGUCUUCAAAAGCUGGGAUGUAUGCUACCUGGUACUUAGCUGCUUCAGUUAUUUCCGAAUCUGCCAGAAACUUUAGAACAUUUCCUUUAACUCUUAUGGCCCUCGAUAUGAAUGAUAAGAAUUUUUGGUUUGAGACAAAAUCAUCAUCUGAUCAAACUCUAAAUCCUAAAACCCAUCCAAUGGCCAGAGGAGGAACCUGGAUCAACCUCAUGAGAGGAUUCAAUGGCGCAGCAGAAGACUCACAAAAUCUCGUUGACGUUCUAAAAAGAGAAUAUGAUGUGAUUAAUAAAUGGGUGAAUAGAGAUCAAGAGAAUAUAGAGAACAUACCGAUCAGAUUUACUACAGUAGCUCGCGAAUAUGCGAUACUGGCAGAAACAGAACAAUUCCAAGAUGAAUACAAACACUUGAUGAACACCGUAGCAUCUGGAGGACCUAAAGGUAGCGAUGGUGAGAUGAAGUCUCGUGAUUGUCGAAAGAACCGCUCCGCCAGCGAUCGAACCGCCGACGAACGAACCGCUCCGCCAGUGAUCGAACCGCCGGCGAAUAAACUGCUCCGCCUAUGA
rnacentral:lncRNA from 1 species